rnacentral:RNase_P_RNA from 1 species
CGAGCCGGCCGGGCGGUCGCGUCGGGGUCCUCGCGGACCCCGCCGAGGAAAGUCCGGGCUCCGCAGGGCAGGGUGGUAGGUAACGCCUACCUGGGGCGACCCACGGGAAAGUGCCACAGAAAGCAAACCGCCGGGGCCGUGGCCACACGGCACCCGGUAAGGGUGAAACGGUGGUGUAAGAGACCACCAGCGCCCAGGGUGACCUGGGCGGCUCGGUAAACCCCACCCGGAGCAAGGUCAAGAGGGGCCGCGGCCAAUGCGGCCCUGCGCGGAUGUCCGAGGGCGGCCCGCCCGAGUCCGCGGGUAGACCGCACGAGGCCGGUGGCGACACCGGCCCUAGAUGGAUGACCGCCUCCCCCGGCCCCGCGAGGAACCGGGGAGACAGAACCCGGCUUAGAGGCCGACUCGUCCG